rnacentral:rRNA from 1 species
AGCCUAGGGAAAAUUAUCCUAGGUGAAACCUGCCCGGUGACUAGAUUUUAACGGCCGCGGUACUUUGACCGUGCUAAGGUAGCGUAAUCAGUUGACUUUUAAAUGAAGUCUUGUAUGAAUGGAUUUAUGGGAUUAAGCUGUCUCUUUUGUAUUCUAUUGAAAUUACUAAUUAGGUGAAAAGGCCUAUAUAUGAAAAAAGACGAGAAGACCCUUAGAGUUUUAAUAAUAGGUUUUUGUUGGGGCGACAAGAAGACAUAUAUAACUCUUCUAUUAGAAAAACACUUGCCGGUUCUUUUAAGUAUGGAUAAACUACCUUAGGGAUAACAGCAUAAUCCAAUUUGGGUUUGUGACCUCGAUGUUGGACUAGGAAAAUUAUGCCCUAGCAGGGUGUAUAUUUAGGUUCUGUUCGAACUUCUUUUCCU